rnacentral:rRNA from 1 species
GCAUAUCAAUAAGCGGAGGAAAAGAAAAUAACAAUGAUUCCCUUAGUAACUGCGAGUGAAGGGGGAAAAGCUCAAAUUUUAAAUCUGUUAGGUUUCCUAACCGAGUUGUAAUUUUGAAGAAGCGUUUUCUGUGCAGUUUGGUCGACCUAAGUCCUAUUGAAUGAGGCAUCACGGAGGGUGAUAAUCCCGUUCGGUUGAUCAUUGCGCUUUAUGAUACGCUUUCAAAGAGUCAAGUUGUUUGGGAUUGCAGCUUAAAAUGGGAGGUAAAUUUCUCCUAAGGCUAAAUAACGGCGAGAGACCGAUAGCGAACAAGUACCGUGAGGGAAAGAUGAAAAGAACUUUGAAAAGAGAGUUAAAUAGUACGUGAAAUUGUUGAAAGGGAAACGAUUGAAGCCAGUCGUACCGGCGGGCAAUCAGCCUUUUGGGUGUGAUUAUGUGGGGCGUGAGGAGUUAAACACCCUCAUCUUUACAUAUUCGUGCACUUUGGGUGUACUUGCUCGUGUGGUAGGUUAACAUCAAUUUCGAUCGUCAUAAAAUGAUUGGAGGAAUGUAGCUUCGAUCUUGUAUUGAAGUGUUAUAGCCUUCGGUAGAUGUGAUGAUUGGGAUUGAGGAUUGCAACGGAUACCUUUCGGGGCUACCUGUCUGAUCUCUGAGUGUUGCUCUGGUGCCGAAAGCUUGCUUACGGUAUCAAAAUUGACGUUCAAUAGGUUAGAAUGGGUUUUUUUCUUUAAGGAUGUUGACGUAAUGGCUUUAAACGAC